AGUGAACGCUGGCGGCGUGCUUAACACAUGCAAGUCGAACGAGAACGGGCUAUAGCUUGCUAUAGUUGUCAGCUAAGUGGCGCACGGGUGAGUAAUGUAUAGGUAAUAUGCCUCUUACUAAGGGAUAACAAAUGGAAACGUUUGCUAAUACCUUAUACUCCUUAUUAACAGAAGUUAAUAAGGGAAAGCUUUAUUGGUAAGAGAUUAGCCUGUAUUAUAUCAGUUAGUUGGUGGGGUAAUGGCUUACCAAGACUAUGACACAUAACUGGUUUGAGAGGAUGAUCAGUCACGCUGGAACUGAGACACGGUCCAGACUCCUACGGGAGGCAGCAGUGGGGAAUAUUGCACAAUGGACGAAAGUCUGAUGCAGCAACGCCGCGUGGAGGAUGACACAUUUCGGUGCGUAAACUCCUUUUAUAUGAGAAGAUAAUGACGGUAUUAUAUGAAUAAGCACCGGCUAACUCCGUGCCAGCCGCCGCCGUAA
rnacentral:rRNA from 1 species